GAUGAACGCUAGCGGCAGGCCUAAUACAUGCAAGUCGAACGGGUGGUCGCAAGACCACUAGUGGCGCACGGGUGCGUAACGCGUAACCAACCUGCCCCGAUCUGGGGUAUAGCCCGCCGAAAGGCGGAUUAAUACCGCAUAUACCCGCAGCCUGGCAUCAGGCAACGGGGAAAGAUUUAUUGGAUCGGGAUGGGGUUGCGUGACAUUAGCUAGUUGGCGGGGUAAGGGCCCACCAAGGCGACGAUGUCUAGGGGACCUGAGAGGGUGAUCCCCCACACUGGCACUGAGAUACGGGCCAGACUCCUACGGGAGGCAGCAGUAGGGCAUAGUGGGCAAUGGGCGCGAGCCUGAACCAGCCAUGCCGCGUGCCGGAUGAAGGCCUUCUGGGUUGUAAACGGCUUUUCUCAGGGAAGAAAAAGACCUUGCGAGGUACACUGACGGUACCUGAGGAAUAAGCACCGGCUAACUCCGUG
rnacentral:rRNA from 1 species